rnacentral:rRNA from 1 species
GCGACGAUGCGUAGCCGACCUGAGAGGGUGAUGCACGGCCACACUGGGACUGAGACACGGCCCACUCCUACGGGAGGGCAGUAGGGAAUCUUCGGCAAUAGGAAAGUCUGACCGAGCAACGCCGCGUGAGUGAAGAAGGUUUUCGGAUCGUAAAGCUCUGUUGCCAGGGGGAAGAACGCUCUGAGGUAGGAAAUGACCUUGGGUGACGGUACCUGAGAAGAAAGCCCCGGCUAACUACGUGAAAGCAGCCGCGGUAAUACGUAGGGGGCAAGCGUUGUCCGGAAUUAUUGGGCGAGCGCGCGCAGGCG